GGGCCUCAUUAGAGGGGUGGCACGUGGAGCUCAGGAGGCAUUGCCUCCCUUGGAGCAUCCCUACCCUGCCCUGCUCUGACAGCCCCUUCACCCCUGCUCCAGCACGGUGGAAAAGCAUCUGCAGCAGCAGCCGAGGGAGCGAAGAUUAUUUAUAUUCAUGUUGCAGCUCUGCCAGCCGUGACUCUGUUAUCUGCCAUGCAUGAAUAUUAUUUGAAUACGGAGUUUGUCGUGACUAUUCUUCCGCGUGAAACGAGGGAUUUGCUGUGGGAUGGGAGCCCUCCCUCUGGCUGUCAGUCAGGAGGGGUUUCCUUUUCCUGUCUCGUUGGAAGCCGCGUCCCCAGCAAGGAUUCCUGUUGCAGGGAUUGCACCAAGAUGACAAACUAGAGAGUUUUCAAAAUGGAAACACAAUCCCCUGACUCCAGGAGCUCAGACUUAAAUAUCAACAAAUAACUCAGGAUGCGGUGCAAGUGCUGAUGGAGCAGCUGACUCGGCGAGCGUGGAGGUGAGCAGCUCCAGAGCCCCACAGAGCCCCAGAGCCCUGAUUUGCUGAACCCAGUGGAAUGAAUUCCUAUAUUGGAUGAUCCAUGUGCAUGGGCCUCCGUGGGAUCACCGCCAACAUUUGUGAAGUGCUGCGAGAUGCUUGGAUGAAAGAGACCACAGAAGUGCAAAGUAUUACUUUUUCAUGAUUGCUGCAAUUGCUAUCCUUGGGGCUGUCCAAAUAUUGUUGUUCCAAGUGAAAAUAUAAAAUCAUUUUGGCAUGUU